AACGAACGCUGGCGGCAGGCUUAACACAUGCAAGUCGAACGAGUGUAGCAAUACACUAGUGGCGCACGGGUGCGUAACGCGUGGGAACCUUCCUCGUAGUUCGGAAUAACUCAGGGAAACUUGGGCUAAUACCGGAUGCCUCCCUCGGGAGAAAGAUUUAUCGCUACGAGAUGGGCCCGCGUCAGAUUAGGUAGUUGGUAGGGUAACGGCCUACCAAGCCGACGAUCUGUAGCUGGCUGAGAGGAUGAUCAGCCACACUGGGACUGAGACACGGCCCAGACUCCUACGGGAGGCAGCAGUGGGGAAUAUUGGACAAUGGGGCAACCCUGAUCCAGCCAUGCCGCGUGAGUGAAGAAGGCCUCGGUU
rnacentral:rRNA from 1 species